GCAACUCGGGGCGCAGCGGCGGUUGUGUGGGCAGAGGGGCGCUUGCCCGGGAAUCCUUUGGCGGUGGUUGCAGGGGCCCUGAAGGGAAGCUGCUCCCCUUGGCUUAGAGCGGAGCGACGGCGGAAGAGAGCCCCUAGGAGGGGCAUGCUGCCCGGGGGCUGCGGCAGGAGGAGGCAGGCAGCCGUUGCUGGGGAGGCAGCCGGUGUGCGCAGGACUACGGGUGGCACUGUUGAAGCUAAGGGUAAGAGUUGCCAGAAAUUAACAGAAAAUAAAAGAAAAUACGAGUGAAGAAAUGUGAUUAAGCACAGAAACUUGAAAACCCAGAGAUUUGCCCAGCCCUUGAGAGAGAAACGUUGAAGUCCUCUACUACCAGAGCCUCUGACUCUUCUCUAGUUAAAGU